UACGUAGGGUGCAAGCGUUAAUCGGAAUUACUGGGCGUAAAGCGUGCGCAGGCGGCUUUGCAAGACAGAUGUGAAAUCCCCGGGCUCAACCUGGGAACUGCAUUUGUGACUGCAUGGCUAGAGUGCGGCAGAGGGGGAUGGAAUUCCGCGUGUAGCAGUGAAAUGGGUAGAUAUGCGGAGGAACACCGAUGGCGAAGGCAAUCCCCUGGGCCUGCACUGACGCUCAUGCACGAAAGCGUGGGGAGCAAACAGG
rnacentral:rRNA from 1 species